AGGGUGUAAACGCUGCAGACUUGGUGUUGGGAACCCUUCGGGGGUGCUCAGUGCCGGAGAGAAGUUGUUAAGUCUGCUACUUGGGGAGUACGUCCGCAAGGAUGAAACCUAAAGGAAUUGGCGGGGGAGGCACCGCAACGGGAGGAGCGUGCGGUUUAAUUGGAUUCAACGCCGAAAAACUCACCAGCAGCGACUGUUACAUGAAAGUCAGGUUGAUGACCUUACUAGAUUUUCAGAGAGGAGGUGCAUGGCGUCAGUGACU
rnacentral:rRNA from 1 species